UACGGAGGAUGCAAGCGUUAUCCGGAAUGAUUGGGCGUAAAGCGUCCGCAGGUGGCAAUGUAAGUCUGCUGUUAAAGAGUGAGGCUCAACCUCAUAAGAGCAGUGGAAACUACACAGCUAGAGUGCGGUAGGGGCAGAGGGAAUUCCUGGUGUAGCGGUGAAAUGCGUAGAGAUCAGGAAGAACACCGGUGGCGAAAGCGCUCUGCUAGGCCGCAACUGACACUGAGGGACGAAAGCUAGGGGAGCGAAUGGG
rnacentral:rRNA from 1 species